AGCGAACGCUGGCGGCAGGCCUAACACAUGCAAGUCGAACGGACCCUUCGGGGUUAGUGGCGGACGGGUGAGUAACACGUGGGAACGUGCCUUUAGGUUCGGAAUAGCUCCUGGAAACGGGUGGUAAUGCCGAAUGUGCCCUUCGGGGGAAAGAUUUAUCGCCUUUAGAGCGGCCCGCGUCUGAUUAGCUAGUUGGUGAGGUAAAGGCUCACCAAGGCUACGAUCAGUAGCUGGUCUGAGAGGAUGACCAGCCACAUUGGGACUGAGACACGGCCCAAACUCCUACGGGAGGCAGCAGUGGGGAAUCUUGCGCAAUGGGCGAAAGCCUGACGCAGCCAUGCCGCGUGGAUGAUGAAGGUCUUAGGAUUGUAAAAUCCUUUCACCGGUGAAGAUAAUGACUGUAGCCGGAGAAGAAGCCCCGGCUAACUUCGUGCCAGCCGCCGCCGUAAUAC
rnacentral:rRNA from 1 species